CUACGGGGGGCAGCAGUGAGGAAUAUUGCACAAUGGGGGGAACCCUGAUGCAGCAACGCCGCGUGGAGGAUGACGCAUUUCGGUGUGUAAACUCCUUUUAUAUGUCAAGAAAAUGACGGUAGCAUAUGAAUAAGCACCGGCAACUCCGGGCCAGCAGCCGCGGUAAUACGGAGGGUGCAAGCGUUACUCGGAAUCACUGGGCGUAAAGGACGCGUAGGCGGGUUGGAAAGUCAGGUGUGAAAUCCUACAGCUUAACUGUAGAACUGCACUUGAAACUUCUAAUCUAGAGUAUGGGAGGGGGAGAUGGAAUUAGUGGUGUAGGGGUAAAAUCCGUAGAUAUCACUAGGAAUACCUAAAGCGAAGGCGAUCUCCUGGAACAUUACUGACGCUGAGGCGUGAAAGCGUGGGGAGCAAACAGGAUUAGAUACCCCCGUAGUC
rnacentral:rRNA from 1 species